rnacentral:tRNA from 1 species
CCGCCCUUGUGGCGGGGCGGCCGUCCGGCGUUUUCGGCCGGGCGGCCGUCCGGCGUUCGAGGCGGGCGGGGCGGGC